CCUACGGGUGGCAGCAGUGAGGAAUAUUGGUCAAUGGCCGGAAGGCUGAACCAGCCAUGCCGCGUGAAGGUCAGUGCCCUAUGGGCGUUAAACUUCUUUUGUGCGGGAGCAAUAAUGGUCACGUGUGGCCAGACGAGAGUACCGUACGAAUAAGCAUCGGCUCACUCCGUCCCAGCAGCCGCGGUAAUACGGGGGAUGCAAGCGUUAUCCGGAUUUAUUGGGUUUAAAGGGUGCGUAGGCUGGGAGGUAAGUCGGUGGUUAAAUGCCCAGGCCUAACGGGGGGAAGUGCAUUUGAUACUGGCUUGCUGGAAUGCGGAAGCGGUGGGAGGAAUGUGUGGUGUAGCGGUGAAAUGCAUAGAUAUCAGACAGAACACCGAUUGCGAAGGCAUCUCACG
rnacentral:rRNA from 1 species